AACGAACGCUGGCGGCGUGCCUAACACAUGCAAGUCGCGCGAGAAAAGGGAGCAAUCCCUGAGUAAAGCGGCGAACGGGUGAGUAACACGUAGGUAAUCUACCCCCGAGCCUGGGAGUAACCUACCGAAAGGUAGGGCGUAAUAACCGGAUAUGACCACGGGAGUUUCGGUCUCCUGCGGUGAAAGGUGGCCUCUGCUUGCAAGCUACCGCUCGAGGAUGAGCCUGCGCGCCAUUAGCAGUUGGCGGGGUAACGGCCCACCAAGGCGAUGAUGGCUAGCUGGUCUGAGAGGAUGGCCAGCCACACUGGGACUGAAACACGGCCCAGACUCCUACGGGAGGCAGCAGUGGGGGAUCUUGCGCAAUGGGCGAAAAGCCUGACGCAGCGACGCCGCGUGGGGUGAUGAAGGCC
rnacentral:rRNA from 1 species